rnacentral:rRNA from 1 species
UACAGGGGGGGCAAGCGUUGUUCGGAAUUACUGGGCGUAAAGGGCUCGUAGGCGGCCAACUAAGUCACACGUGAAAUCCCCAGGCUUAACCUGGGAACUGCGUGUGAUACUGGAUGGCUUGAAUCCGGGAGAGGGAUGCGGAAUUCCAGGUGUAGCGGUGAAAUGCGUAGAUAUCUGGAGGAAUACCGGUGGCGAAGGCGGCAUCCUGGACCGACAUUGACGCUGAGGAGCGAAAGCCAGGGGAGCAAACGGG